rnacentral:rRNA from 1 species
UAGUGAGUUUGAUCCGGCUCAGGACGAACGCUGGCGGCGUGCUUAACACAUGCAAGUCGAGCGGAAAGGCCACUUCGGUGGUACUCGAGCGGCGAACGGGUGAGUAACACGUGAGUAAUCUGCCCUUGGCUUCGGGAUAGCCACCGGAAACGGUGAUUAAUACCGGAUAUGACCACUUCUCGCAUGGGGUGUGGUGGAAAGUUUUUUCGGCCAGGGAUGUGCUCGCGGCCUAUCAGCUUGAUGGUGAGGUAAUGGCUCACCAUGGCUUCGACGGGGUAGCCGGCCUGAGAGGGUGACCGGUCACACUGGGACUGAGACACGG